UCAUUCUUUAUUUUUUAGUUACAAAUCUAUUUAAAAUUACGGUAUUGAGAAGAAUUGAAUUGAAUUAUUUAUUUGAUUGUUCGACGACCCUUUCAAAGCAGGACGACUUUAUCGCGUCGUUUGAUGUAUGCUGCUUAAUAGACAUUUACAAGCCACUUAUCUGACUUCUGCAGGUACUUUGUUACUUCGUGGUUCUCCAUGUACCGGCUAUAAAACUAUCUCACCAAGGCCGCAGCUCAAGUGAAAUCAUUCUACCUUUCCAGAUUUGUUUCAAAUAUGAGGACCCCCAUAGACAAUACUAUCUGUGUAGAAAUUCAAGGCAGCUUACUUAGUAACCCACAGGACGUUAUCCUUGUAUGAACAUACUUAUAUACCACCAUAUGGUUCACCUUACUAUAAGACCAAGACACAGAAUAGUAACAUUCCACUCCUCGAAGAGUUUCUACUCGAUCUGAGAAGUUGCCGUUCUUAAGUUUGGACUAAAAGGUGAUAUUAAUAAAAUAUAUUUUGGGGGAUGAUGGUGUCUUCUUGACGACAAAGUGCUUGAUUUUUGUUUUUUGGUAUAGCUGAUUUGGUGAACAUCUCUUAAUAAGAAAUAUUCUUUCAGGCACGAAGGAAGAAAAUGGCUAAGUAUACCGGACAAAAUAUUGCCCCAGAUGAUAACCUUCCCAGAAAAAUCAAGCUUGGAUUAAGAGGAGAAGCGUGAUCCGUGGUGUCAUCAUAAUCCACUUGAAGUUCAUCAAAUAUUACUAGAUCAUCACAAAGAAAGUCCACUGCCAAAGGACGCAUGCGAACAAGCAGAGCUUCAACAAAAUUUUAUAAAAUUAUCAACCGACGAAGAAAAGGUAUUUACCUAAAGUUCUUUAAGUAUGUGCUGAACUGCUGAAUUUUCUUAUCCAGCAUUUCCUAGGAGACAAGACCAGCAGUGAUCUUUGAUCUUUGAUCUUUGUCAGCACCAUGUCAUCAAGUGCUUAAGGGACAUUGUGUGUGUUCUUUUUUUAAUGUUUCUUCUUGGUUGUAUGAUGUCCCACACUUAAAUGUUUCAGAUGAAUUCUUUUUCUUCUCAUUAUUAUUCUUUAUUUAGAUAUUUUUAUUUGUACACUUUCCUAUAAUGUUUACUCGGUUUUCAAUUUUGUUAUGUCCCUCAAAAUGAAUGUUAUUGUACAUAUCAUGUAAAAUAUUAGACCAUCAUGGGCUUUUUUUCUUAAAUAAUGUGGUUUGGUUAACAGGUAGAGACAAGAAAACUACCAGCAUGAUCUUUUUCACGUGUUAUCUCAUUCAGGCUACUUUUUCUAGUCAGGUCAAUAUGUAUAUAUAGUUAGCACAUUCCUAAUAUUAUGUGUGUUUCGCUUGUUUAGUAUUUCAGAAUAUUUUUUUACAUGUGAAUAGACCUCUAUAUUGCUUUUUCACAUUCCAUAGUUGUUUCAUGAAAGAUCAUGCAAGUGCUUUAACAUUUUAAAAAGUACAAGCACGAAGCAUUUAAUGAAAACAACUGUUAAAACUCAGCUCCUUAAGCAAAACAUUAUGAUUUAUCUCUCCUCAAAAAAUGGCAUAUUGUACGACUUUAAAAAUAUAUAAUUAGAAAAUUUAUCAUCGAAAGCUUAUUUUUAAACAAUCAUUACAGCACAAAACGCCUGCUGCUCCCUAAAAAUCUUAUAUUUAUUGAACUUUUCAUUAUAUUCUAAAAUAAAUAUUGUACUUUCAAGAAGAAAAUAUCCAACAUAUUUCAUGAAGCAAGUUCGUUAUUAAAAAUCAGCUUGACUUUGUCAGCACCAUUUCA